rnacentral:rRNA from 1 species
CCUACGGGAGGCAGCAGUGGGGAAUUUUGCGCAAUGGGGGCAACCCUGACACAGCAACGCCGCGUGAGUGAUGAAGGCCUUCGGGUCGUAAAGCUCUGUCAGAGGGGAAGAAAUGCAGGUGGUGAACAACCAUUCUGUUUGACGGUACCCUCAAAGGAAGCACCGGCUAACUCCGUGCCAGCAGCCGCGGUAAUACGGAGGGUGCGAGCGUUGUUCGGAAUUAUUGGGCGUAAAGCGCGUGUAGGCGGUUUGUUAAGUCUGAGGUAAAAGCCCCGGGCUCAACCGGGGAAGUGCAUUGGAUACUGGCAGACUUGAGUACGGGAGAGGAGAGUGGAAUUCCCGGUGUAGGGGUAAAAUCCGUAGAUAUUGGGAGGAACACCGGUGGCGAGGGCGGCGCCCUGGACCGAAACUGACGCUGAGGCGCGAAAGCGGGGGGAGCAAACGGGAUUAGAUCCCCCUGUAGU